AUUGAACGCUGGCGGCAUGCCUUACACAUGCAAGUCGAACGGCAGCAUGAUCUCGCUUGCUAGAUUGAUGGCGAGUGGCGAACGGGUGAGUAAUACAUCGGAACGUGCCCUGUAGUGGGGGAUAACUAGUCGAAAGAUUAGCUAAUACCGCAUACGACCUGAGGGUGAAAGUGGGGGACCGCAAGGCCUCAUGCUAUAGGAGCGGCCGAUGUCUGAUUAGCUAGUUGGUGAGGUAAAGGCUCACCAAGGCGACGAUCAGUAGCUGGUCUGAGAGGACGAUCAGCCACACUGGGACUGAGACACGGCCCAGACUCCUACGGGAGGCAGCAGUGGGGAAUUUUGGACAAUGGGCGAAAGACUGAUCCAGAAAUGCCGCGUGUGUGAAGAAGGCCUUCGGGUUGUAAAGCACUUUUGUCCGGAAAGAAAUGGCUCUGGUUAAUACCUGGGGUCGAUGACGGUACCGGAAGAAUAAGGACCGGCUAACUACGUG
rnacentral:rRNA from 1 species